AUUGAACGCUGGCGGCAUGCCUUACACAUGCAAGUCGAACGGCAGCACGGGAGCAAUCCUGGUGGCGAGUGGCGAACGGGUGAGUAAUAUAUCGGAACGUGCCCAGUCGUGGGGGAUAACGUAGCGAAAGCUACGCUAAUACCGCAUACGAUCUAUGGAUGAAAGCGGGGGAUCGCAAGACCUCGCGCGAUUGGAGCGGCCGAUAUCAGAUUAGGUAGUUGGUGAGGCAAAGGCUCACCAAGCCGACGAUCUGUAGCUGGUCUGAGAGGACGACCAGCCACACUGGGACUGAGACACGGGCCAGACUCCUACGGGAGGCAGCAGUGGGGAAUUUUGGACAAUGGGCGCAAGCCUGAUCCAGCAAUGCCGCGUGCAGGAUGAAGGCCUUCGGGUUGUAAACUGCUUUUGUACGGAGCGAAAAGGCUUCCACUAAUACUGGGGGCUCAUGACGGUACCGUAAGAAUAAGCACCGGCUAACUACGUGCCAGCCGCCGCAGUAAGAC
rnacentral:rRNA from 1 species